rnacentral:tRNA from 1 species
GGAGAGGUGGCCGAGUGGUCGAAGGCGCUCCCCUGCUAAGGGAGUAUACGCUAACCGCGUAUCGUGGGUUCGAAUCCCAUCCUCUCCG